rnacentral:rRNA from 1 species
AGAGUUUGAUCCUGGCUCAGAUUGAACGCUGGCGGCAUGCUUUACACAUGCAAGUCGGACGGCAGCACAGAGAAGCUUGCUUCUUGGGUGGCGAGUGGCGAACGGGUGAGUAACAUAUCGGAACGUACCGAGCAGUGGGGGAUAACUAAUCGAAAGAUUAGCUAAUACCGCAUAUAUUCUGAGGAAGAAAGCAGGGGACCAUUUGGCCUUGCGCUGUUUGAGCGGCCGAUAUCUGAUUAGCUAGUUGGUGGGGUAAAGGCCUACCAAGGCGACGAUCAGUAGCGGGUCUGAGAGGAUGAUCCGCCACACUGGGACUGAGACACGGCCCAGACUCCUACGGGAGGCAGCAGUGGGGAAUUUUGGACAAUGGGCGCAAGCCUGAUCCAGCAAUGCCGCGUGUGUGAUGAAGGCCUUCGGGUUGUAAAGCACUUUUGGCGGGAACGAAAAGGACUGUGCCAAUACCACGGUUCGAUGACGGUACCCGCAGAAUAAGCACCGGCUAACUACGUGCCAGCAGCCGCGGUAAUACGUAGGGUGCGAGCGUUAAUCGGAAUUACUGGGCGUAAAGCGAGCGCAGACGGUUACUUAAGCAGGAUGUGAAAUCCCCGGGCUCAACCUGGGAACUGCGUUCUGAACUGGGUAGCUAGAGUAUGUCAGAGGGGGGUAGAAUUCCACGUGUAGCAGUGAAAUGCGUAGAGAUGUGGAGGAAUACCGAUGGCGAAGGCAGCCCCCUGGGAUAACACUGACGUUCAUGCUCGAAAGCGUGGGUAGCAAACAGGAUUAGAUACCCUGGUAGUCCACGCCCUAAACGAUGUCGAUUAGCUGUUGGGCAGCUUGACUGCUUAGUAGCGUAGCUAACGCGUGAAAUCGACCGCCUGGGGAGUACGGUCGCAAGAUUAAAACUCAAAGGAAUUGACGGGGACCCGCACAAGCGGUGGAUGAUGUGGAUUAAUUCGAUGCAACGCGAAGAACCUUACCUGGUCUUGACAUGUACGGAACCCUCCAGAGACGGAGGGGUGCCUUCGGGAGCCGUAACACAGGUGCUGCAUGGCUGUCGUCAGCUCGUGUCGUGAGAUGUUGGGUUAAGUCCCGCAACGAGCGCAACCCUUGUCAUUAGUUGCCAUCAUUAAGUUGGGCACUCUAAUGAGACUGCCGGUGACAAGCCGGAGGAAGGUGGGGAUGACGUCAAGUCCUCAUGGCCCUUAUGACCAGGGCUUC